rnacentral:rRNA from 1 species
CCCUUAGAUGUUCUGGGCCGCACGCGCGCUACACUGACGGAGUCAACGAGUUGUCCUGCAUCGGAAGGUGUGGGUAAUCUUUUGAAACUUCGUCGUGCUGGGGAUAGAUCUUUGCAAUUUUCGAUCUUGAACGAGGAAUUCCUAGUAAGCGUGAUUCAUCAGAUCGCGUUGAUUACGUCCCUGCCCUUUGUACACACCGCCCGUCGCUACUACCGAUUGAAUGGUUUAGUGAGGCCUCGGGACUGGCGCGCUCGAGUAGCAAUACACCUGCGCGCCGGGAACUUGGUCAAACUUGAUCAUUUAGAGGGAGUAAAAGUCGUAACA